rnacentral:rRNA from 1 species
GAGUUUGAUCAUGGCUCAGGAUGAACGCUGGCGGCGUGCCUAACACAUGCAAGUCGAGCGCGGUUGUGCUUAGUAUUGAGUGUUUUAUUGAUAUAAAACAUUGAAUUCUAUGCACAACUGAGCGGCGGACGGGUGAGUAACGCGUGGGUAACCUGCCCUAUACACAUGGAUAACAUACUGAAAAGUUUACUAAUACAUGAUAAAAUAGUUUUUCGGCAUCGAAGAAUUAUCAAAGUGUUAGCGGUAUAGGAUGGACCCGCGUCUGAUUAGCUAGUUGGUGAGAUAACUGCCCACCAAGGCAACGAUCAGUAGCCGACCUGAGAGGGUGAUCGGCCACAUUGGAACUGAGACACGGUCCAAACUCCUACGGGAGGCAGCAGUGGGGAAUAUUGCACAAUGGGCGCAAGCCUGAUGCAGCAACGCCGCGUGAACGAUGAAGGUCUUCGGAUCGUAAAGUUCUGUUGCAGGGGAAGAUG